rnacentral:lncRNA from 1 species
AUGAUUUGGUACCUCGAGAUAUUUUUUGUUGGACCAGAGCAAAUCUCUUGUCUAAUAGUUGAUCUUGAUCAGUAAUCCGGUUAAUGCUCCCAAGCAGGAGUACAAACUAUAUGGUUACUUACUCCUGUAGGAGCCAGUUGUUUGCAAAUAAAAAUCACUGAGCAGAAAGGAUUGGACAGGAUGAACAAGUGCUAAGCAGUAAUUUCAGAGAGUAGCUCAGUUGGGCCUUGCGUGCGUUCUGUGAGCAUCAACAGUACAAACAGCACAAAUGGC